rnacentral:rRNA from 1 species
UUACACAUGCAAGUCGAACGGAGUAGAAAUAUUAGUGGCGGACGGGUGAGUAACGCGUGAGAAUCUGCCUUCAGGACGGAGACAACAGUUGGAAACGACUGCUAAGCCCCGAUGAACCGAAAGGGAAAAUAUUUAUAGCCUGAAGAUGAGCUCGCGUCCGAUUAGCUAGUUGGGGGGGUAAAAGCCCACCAAGGCGACGAUCGGUAGCUGGUCUGAGAGGACGAUCAGNCACACUGGGACUGAGACACGGNCCAGACUCCUACGGGAGGCAGCAGUGGGGAAUUUUCCGCAAUGGGCGAAAGCCUGACGGAGCAAGACCGCGUGGGGGAAGAAGGCUCUUGGGUUGUAAACCCCUUUUCUCUGGGAAGAAAGUUGUGAAAGCAACCUGACGGUACCAGAGGAAUCAGCAUCGGCUAACUCCGUGCCAGCAGCCGCGGUAAGACGGAGGAUGCAAGCGUUAUCCGGAAUGAUUGGGCGUAAAGCGUCCGCAGGUGGCAGUUCAAGUCUGCUGUCAAAGACCGGGGCUUUAACUUCGGAAAGGCAGUGGAAACUGAACAGCUAGAGUAUGGUAGGGGCAGAGGGAAUUCCUGGUGUAGCGGUGAAAUGCGUAGAGAUCAGGAAGAACAUCGGUG